UGGUUUGGGGCAAUGGCGGGGCGGUGAUGGAACAGGAGAUCUUAAUGGAGAAGGCGUGCUCUGCCUGAUCUCUCGGCAGUCUCCCACCCAGUGGCCCUGGGCAAGCCCUGCUCCGCUGUUCCCGCCAGACUCAAGGAGGCUUGGCAAGUGAGGACCUGGUUUCAACGUCGAAUCCGGACAGAUUUUAACUAAAUCUCUCAACACUACCUGGAAACUCCACACUGCAUACCAACUACAAAGUUCAGGGAAAGUGGAACGAAUAAAUCGCACCCUCAAAGGAACCCUAGUUACAGGCAUGACUCCAUGGGCCCAUCAUUCCAGAGUGAGAAGAGCCCAUUCUCCAGACAAAGAAAUACAUCAGUGGAAGCCCAGCCAGACCUCCAGAAUCCUCUCUGCCUCUGCAUCUGACGAUUACCCUCUGACUAAUGAACACCUGCACACCAUGGAUCCUGGCCCUCACCAGAAUGGAAUCUCUCAUCCUGGGCAUUAAACUCUCUGCUGCUGCUCCCUCUGACUAAACUGUUCCUCGAAAAUUUGCCCUUUCUAUUAUCUACUGUGUAAUCAUUAAGUUGUUUUGCUGUGCUUACCUGAUUCUCCUAGCUGAACUCAAGUCUCAGCCUGCAUUUCCAAAGUACUUCUCUAUAAUGUUUAAGUGUACAAGAGUUAUAAAGUGCAUAGUCAUCACCCAAGGGAGCAGCCGUCAGUGACCCUACACCUUUAACACCUGUCUUCUCACACUCAGAUAAACCAGCCUGAGUGUAAUGCUCAGCUGCAUAAAAAUAAAUUAAGAUUGAGAAAAACUGGGUAUUUUUUGUUAAGCAUAGAUUUAUCAAGAGUCUGAAGGACUCAUUUCAACUUGUACACACAAGGCCCAUACAGACAAAUGGAUAAGAACAUAAUCAUUUGUGUUCUUCACAAAGUACUCAGGACUUUAAAGAAAAAGUCACAAGGAAAAAUCCUUACUCAAAGCAAUUAAAAUUAUAAAUACAAGCCAUUAUAACCCUAUCAUAAACCAAGAAGAUGAUGCUCCCUAAAACAAAGUGUUUAAAGGGGCAUCAGAGGGGGAGUGAUAAGGAAAAUAUUCAACACAGCCAUCAAGGUCAGCAAAUUGCUUUUUCCUCUAGUUGGCAAAGCACCCCCAGCUCCCUCCUCCAGGCUCCUCUUUUGCCCUGUACAUGCCAAAAUGCCACAUAUCAAAAUAAUAUAAAUUGCUCCCCUUGCUUGUGCUCAGGGCUCACACCUUGGCAGAUUACUCCCCUAUGAGCCCGCCAGUGUGAAAUAAAACCUCAACACUAUGAGACCUCUGAGCACCGCUUGGUUCUUCCAUCAGUGAUCCAGGUUUUCUAGUAUUUUCGGUAACACAACCAUUGUGGAAAGCAAUAUGGAAGUUCCUCAAAAAACUAAAAAUAGAAAUACCGUUUGACCCAGAAUUUCACUCGUGGGAAUUUACCCAAAGAAAACAAGAUCCCAGAU